UGGCUCAGAUGUUAGAGCAUGGUGCUUACAUCGCCAUGGUUGUGGAUUCGAUUCCCAU
rnacentral:tRNA from 1 species